rnacentral:rRNA from 1 species
AUACGGAGGGUGCAAGCGUUAAUCGGAAUUACUGGGCGUAAAGCGUACGUAGGCGGUUCGUUAAGUUAGAUGUGAAAGCCCCGGGCUUAACCUGGGAACUGCAUUUAAAACUGGCGGACUAGAGUUGAGUAGAUGGGAGUGGAAUUUCAGGUGUAGCGGUGAAAUGCGUAGAGAUCUGAAGGAACACCAGUGGCGAAGGCGACUCCCUGGACUCGAACUGACGCUGAGGUACGAAAGCGUGGGUAGCAAACGGGAUUAGAUACCCUAGUAGUCC